UAAGUGGGAGAACGUGAGCUCAGAAUAACAUCAUCACCUGACUCCAAAGCCAAGGCUACCAGCCCUUAAUUGCCUCUGAAAGCUGCAGGACCCUGAACGCUGUGUGCUCCAGCUUCCUUCUCUACAUCCCUCGGCUUGGCAGAGAGCUAAGCACACAGGACCUGCCUCAAAACAAUCACUGCUGACUAUUUCUAAGCAUUGGCGGUGUUCUGGAAAAUGCUUUAUUCCACUCUAGCCCUAAUAAAACAGAAGACUCCUUGUGCAUACCCAGAUAUGAUGGUUAACUUUAAUUGCCAAUUUGACAUGACGCAGAAUCACUUGGGAAGAGAGUCACGAUGAGGA